rnacentral:rRNA from 1 species
AAAUGAAUAGACGGGGGCCCGCACAAGCAGCGGAGCAUGUGGUUUAAUUCGAAGCAACGCGAAGAACCUUACCAGGUCUUGACAUCCCCUGACAACCCUAGAGAUAGGGCCUUCCCUUCGGGGACAGGGAGACAGGUGGUGCAUGGUUGUCGUCAGCUCGUGUCGUGAGAUGUUGGGUUAAGUCCCGCAACGAGCGCAACCCUCGUAUUUAGUUGCCAUCAGGUAAAGCUGGGCACUCUAGAUAGACUGCCGUAGACAAUACGGAGGAAGGUGGGGAUGACGUCAAAUCAUCAUGCCCCUUAUGACCUGGGCUACACACGUGCUACAAUGGUCUGAACAAAGGGUAGCGAAAUAGCGAUAUGGAGCCAAUCCCAUAAAACAGAUCUCAGUUCGGAUUGUAGGCUGCAACUCGCCUACAUGAAGACGGAGUUGCUAGUAAUCGCGGAUCAGAAUGCCGCGGUGAAUGCGUUCCCGGGCCUUGUACACACCGCCCGU